rnacentral:rRNA from 1 species
AACGGCGAGUGAAGCGGCAACAGCUCAAAUUUUAAAGCUGGCGUCCUCGACGCCCGCGUUGUAAUUUGGAGAGGCAUCUUCGGUUUGGGCGCCAGCCUAUGUUCCUUGGAACAGGACGUCACAGAGGGUGAGAAUCCCGUGCUUGGCUGGCUGUCCCUCUCCAUGUGAAGUGUCUUCGACGAGUCGAGUUGUUUGGGAAUGCAGCUCAAAAUGGGUGGUAAAUUUCAUCUAAAGCUAAAUAUUGGCGGGAGACCGAUAGCGCACAAGUAGAGUGAUCGAAAGAUGAAAAGCACUUUGAAAAUAGAGUUAAAAAGUACGUGAAAUUGUUGAAAGGGAAGCGCUUGAGACCAGACUCGGCCGGAGACGAUCAGCGGUCCUUUUGGGCCGUGCACUCGUCCUCGGUUGGGCCAGCAUCGGUUGAGACGGUGGGAUAAAGGUCUGGGGAAUGUGGCUCCUUUCGGGGAGUGUUAUAGCCCCGGGCGCAAUGCCGCCAGCCUCGACCGAGGACCGCGCUCUUUUGCUAGGAUGCUGGCGUAAUGGUCUUCAGCGACCCGUCUUGAAACACGGACCAAGGAGUCUAACAUCUAUGCGAGUGUUUGGGUGUCAAACCCUUGCGCGUAAUGAAAGUGAACGUGGGUGGGAACCUCUCGUAAGGGGGGCGCACCAUCGACCGAUCCUGAUGUCUUCGGAUGGAUUUGAGUAGGAGCAUAGCUGUUGGGACCCGAAAGAUGGUGAACUAUGCCUGAAUAGGGUGAAGCCAGAGGAAACUCUGGUGGAGGCUCGCAGCGGUUCUGACGUGCAAAUCGAUCGUCAAAUUUGGGUAUAGGGGCGAAAGACUAAUCGAACCAUCUAGUA